rnacentral:rRNA from 1 species
CCUACGGGAGGCAGCAGUGGGGAAUAUUGCACAAUGGGCGAAAGCCUGAUGCAGCGACGCCGCGUGAGGGAUGACGGCCUUCGGGUUGUAAACCUCUUUCAGUAGGGAAGAAGCGAAAGUGACGGUACCUGCAGAAGAAGCGCCGGCUAACUACGUGCCAGCAGCCGCGGUAAUACGUAGGGCGCAAGCGUUAUCCGGAAUUAUUGGGCGUAAAGAGCUCGUAGGCGGUUUGUCGCGUCUGCCGUGAAAGUCCGGGGCUCAACUCCGGAUCUGCGGUGGGUACGGGCAGACUAGAGUGAUGUAGGGGAGACUGGAAUUCCUGGUGUAGCGGUGAAAUGCGCAGAUAUCAGGAGGAACACCGAUGGCGAAGGCAGGUCUCUGGGCACUAACUGACGCUGAGGAGCGAAAGCAUGGGGAGCGAACAGGAUUAGAUACCCUGGUAGUCCAUGCCGUAAACGUUGGGCACUAGGUGUGGGGGACAUUCCACGUUUUCCGCGCCGUAGCUAACGCAUUAAGUGCCCCGCCUGGGGAGUACGGCCGCAAGGCUAAAACUCAAAGGAAUUGACGG